UUUUACAUUGUGAGUAUUUUCCUUAUCGCCCUCUUUCAGGACUAUCCCAGAGUGGGGUUGUCACCAUCCACUUUUGAGGGGCGCCUGUGUAUCAACAGUCAUGCAAGAUCAUCUGUAAACCAAGACUGUGUUUUCUCUUCUCCCUUUAAUUGGUUAUUGGAAAUUUGCCAUAAGCCUACACAUGCAAGUUGAGGGGAAAGGCAAAACGCCCUGGGUAAUGAUCACGGGUGUCUGAGCUACUUCUUAUGCAGCUUACCUGUGCCUUCAGGUCCCACUUUAGCCUCAUCCCCUUUAUACCAUUUCCACCUGAUGAAACAUUACUAUUGAAUUUCCAACCUUGGUUUGUUGGAAUUAUAUAAGCGCAGGCCUGGGAAGGGUCAAGUUUUAAAACGUUUUAAGGAGAACUUUUCUCCUUUGAUAACAGAGAUCUAAAUAUGUGUUUUUGGUUUUGUCCAUUGUGUAAUUAUAUCUUCCCUUUAUCCACAAAUGUAUAGAAAGGUGAUUCUUUUGAAAACCAAGAACAUCACCACCAAUAAAAAAAAAAAAAAAAAGAAUUUUGUUGUCUAGCAGGGAAAUAAUUUCCGGCUAGAUUUCACAUAAAACUCUUUCCAUCCUAAAUCACAGAUGCACAUUCUAUGGCUCUGACCACCACACAGAUCAGAAAUGAGCAGGAAAGCUGAGACACAAAAAUCAGAUGAUGCCAGGUAUUGCUGAAGCCCAUAAAACAGAACUCCUCAGACGUAGUUAGAAUGGAGGAAUGAGAUUAACAUGAUAUUUAAAAAAUAGUUAUUGUAUGCUAUGACUUACAAGUAUUGCACAAAUUCUAUAAUAUUUUGAGAGGUUGGGUACCAGUGGCUGAAAGUGAGAAAGGAGAGACUAGUUGAAAGCUUCUCCUGCAGCCCAGCAGGAAGAACUGCAUGAGUGGCCCAGGUGUACACAAGCAUCAGGUGCCACAGGAAAAGGAGAUCUCACCUUCCAGGAUCAAAGUUAUAGCAGCAUUAAAAAAAAGAAAGUAAACAUGCAAAAUUGGUAAAGCAAAGAACCAAUGUGAGAAACAAAUUGCCUAUAAUCUCAGUACUUUGAGAGGCCGAGGCAGGCAGAUCACCUGAGGUCGGGAGUUUGAGACCAGCCUGGCCAACAAGAAAAAACUCUGUCUCUACUAAAAAUACAAAAAGAUUAGGUGGGCAUGGUGGUACAUGCCUGUAAUCCCAGCUACCUGGGAGGCUGAAGCAGGAGAAUCUCUUGAACUCAGGAGGCAGAGGUUGCAGUGAGGGCAGAUUGUAUAAUUGCACUCCAGCCUGGGCAACAGAGGGAGGCUCCAUCUUAAAAAAAGAAAAAAAGAAAAGAAAGAAACAAAUUAAACAGAAACAAAGACAUAAAUUUUUGUAAUUUUGACCACAUCCUAAAUACUAAUGAGGUUUGAGAGAUCAAGCCAUCAUCAAUAGAGAUAGAUUCUACAAGAAAAACAGCAGAACAUCAUAGUGAGAAUAAGAAGAAUUAGAUAGUACUGAACACUUGGAGUGUUCUAAGAUCUUAUUAAGAAAUGUUAGAAAUUUCAUCCAUACUACAAAUGAGACAACUGAGGAAUAUAAGUAAAAAGAAGAUCAAACCUAAGAAUAAAUCUUAAGUUCUACAGACCAUGGCAAAAAUACUUAAAGAAUAUCUAUUCAUUAGUAUUGACAGUGGUCUGAAAAUUACCCAUGAGAGGCUGGAAUGAAAUAUUCUUUUGGGCAAGGGCUACAUCAGCUUCAUUAACCACUCCAGGUCUUCUGGAACAUUUUAGGUAUCCAGUAAUGUCUGUCGAAUGAGAGAAUUCUAUAAUGAUUUCUAGAAAGAAUACUAGACUGAGAGUCAGAAACCUGGGUUACAGUCUUCCCUCUUUGGCCUCUCACUUGUGAGCAAAUCACUUCAUCACCCUGACAUUAGAUUUUAUUUACUGUAAAAGGGAAAAUCAGGCUUCAUGUAUCUUUUGAAAUAAAUUCCUUACAGAUGCAAUUAAAAUGUAAUUUACAUUUUCAUAUUGCAAAGACAAUAUAAAUGCACGUGGUAAUAUGACUUCACAGUGACUUGAAGGUGGGGUUAUUCCCAUUCUUGGUAGCCCCUGCAUAUACUUCUCCACGCCACUGUACCAAGUUCUGAUUCAGGGAGGGCACUCCUUUCCCUAUAGCUAUUGUGGCCAUCCAGGACUGAUAACAAAUUACAUCGUCCUCUAGCUAAGAUAUCCUGUGCCCAAUUUUAAUGAAAGAACAAAAAUUGCUUUAUGACAAAAGCUUUCAUUUGCAAACUCUCCCUUCUGAUAAAUUCUGAAAGUUGAACACCUACUUUGCCUUCAGGGCAUGGUAAAAGUAAACUUAGAUAAUUGGUUUUGCUAAUAUCAAGCUUAUAUCAGGA
rnacentral:lncRNA from 1 species